GAUGAACGCUGGCGGCGUGCCUAACACAUGCAAGUCGAGCGAUCUUCUUCGGAAGAGAGCGGCGGACGGGUGAGUAACGCGUGGGUAACCUGCCCUGUACACACGGAUAACAUACCGAAAGGUAUGCUAAUACGGGAUGACAUAUGAAAGUCGCAUGGCUUUUAUAUCAAAGCUCCGGCGGUACAGGAUGGACCCGCGUCUGAUUAGCUAGUUGGUAAGGUAACGGCUUACCAAGGCGACGAUCAGUAGCCGACCUGAGAGGGUGAUCGGCCACACUGGAACUGAGACACGGUCCAGACUCCUACGGGAGGCAGCAGUGGGGAAUAUUGCACAAUGGGCGAAAGCCUGAUGCAGCAACGCCGCGUGAGCGAUGAAGGCCUUCGGGUCGUAAAGCUCUGUCCUCAAGGAAGAUAAUGACGGUACUUGAGGAGGAAGCCCCGGCUAACUACGUGCCAGCAGCCGCGGUAAUACGUAGGGGGCUAGCGUUAUCCGGAAUUACUGGGCGUAAAGGGUGCGUAGGCGGUCUUUCAAGCCAGAAGUGAAAGGCUACGGCUCAACCGUAGUAAGCUUUUGGAACUGUAGGACUUGAGUGCAGGAGAGGAGAGUAGAAUUCCUAGUGUAGCGGUGAAAUGCGUAGAUAUUAGGAGGAAUACCAGUAGCGAAGGCGGCUCUCUGGACUGUAACUGACGCUGAGGCACGAAAGCGUGGGGAGCAAACAGG
rnacentral:rRNA from 1 species